rnacentral:rRNA from 1 species
AUACGUAGGGGGCGAGCGUUGUUCGGAAUGACUGGGCGUAAAGGGCGCGUAGGCGGCCUGUCAAGUUGGGAGUGAAAUUCCUGCUUUCAAGGUAGGAACUGCUUUCAAAACUGUCGGGCUUGAGUGCGGAAGAGGUAAGUGGAAUUCCCAGUGUAGCGGUGAAAUGCGUAGAGAUUGGGAGGAACACCAGUGGCGAAGGCGACUUACUGGGCCGUAACUGACGCUGAUGCGCGAAAGCGUGGGGAGCAAACAGGAUUAGAUACCCUGGUAGUCCACGCGGUAAACGAUGAGUGCUAGGUGUAGGGGGUAUCGACCCCUCCUGUGCCGCAGCAAACGCAAUAAGCACUCCGCCUGGGGAGUACGGCCGCAAGGUUGAA